rnacentral:rRNA from 1 species
AUGGUGAUGUCGCCGUCGUCCUUCCCGGCCACGUCGGUCUCCGACGCCGACGGCUUACCGCACGCGGCCAAGAAGAUGUGGACCAAGAGAGAGGACGACCUGCUGCGGGAGCAGGUGUGUCGGUGCGGCGGCCCGCACAAGUGGGACUCCAUCUGCCGAGGCCUGCCCGGCCGCAACUCCAAGUCGUGCCGCCUCCGCUGGUGCCAGCACCUCGACCCCAGGGUGGAGGCCGUCAAGCCCUUCACCCGCGAGGAGGACAUGCUCAUCGUCAAGUACCAGGCCACCUACGGCAACCGCUGGUCCACCAUCGCUGAGUUCCUCUCCGGCCGCAUCGACAACGCCAUCAAGAACCGCUGGAACUCCGUCCUCCACAAGCACGCGCCCUCCCUGCAGGUGCAGGGGCACACGCGCCCGUGGGCUCCUUCCACCGCCCGACAGGCCGCGAGCCCCGAGGUCACGCCUGGGUGCCUGCCGCUGUUUCCUCUGGCGAGCGGGGAUGUCAGGAUGUCCCCUCGCUUGACGGAGGUCGUGUCGGAGGCUGAGACAUCUGCGGCGGCGAGGGAGUGCCUCGAGCUGUUCCCUCUGGCGCCCGGGGAUAUCAGGGGCAACGCGGGUGCUGCGGCGCUGAGUGACAUGUCCUGCGGAGCAGGCGACCCGCUCACUGAGCUGAGGCUCUGGCUGGCGGCGAGGGUGGUGUUCGACGUAAUGCCGCUCCAGGCUUACCGGAUGUAG